rnacentral:pre_miRNA from 1 species
CAAAAGGGAAGAUGAUGAGCUCUGUGCUAUGCAUAUACUCNAAUUUUUUUAUGAUUAGUAUUUUUAUUGCUAUUAGAUGAUAAAACAUGAAUAGUACUUUAUGUGUGACUAAAUAUUUUCAAGUUUUUUUACAAAUUUUUUAAAUAAGACGGACGGUCAAACGUUGGGCACGAAUAUCCACGACUGCACUUAUU